rnacentral:lncRNA from 1 species
GUAAUUAGUUAAUCUUAGUUAGUUUUCCGCUCCACUCAAUUUCAUGUAUGUUACAUUCAAACCGUUUUGAAUUUUAGGCAGAAGAAAAGUGCUGCUAUCUAGAGUGGAUAGACCCUGAGUGGUCAGUUGCUAUGCAGUUUUGCAUAGGUCAAUUGUGGAGCAUGCAUGACAAAGAAAACGAGGACAAAAUCAGAGAUAAUCUAAAGCUGGGUGAAGAAAAUUUCAAAAUAGUUGGAGAAAAGAGGAGGAUGGAGGAAGAGCUUCGU